CUUUCUUGAACUCAAACCCUAAAACUAAAGAAGAGUUUAGAGAAUGAAGCACAUCCAUUCACUUGGACUCCAUACUUGGCUUCUUGCCAUAACUAUUUUCUUGAUACUUAACAAUGGUGAAAGUCUUCAUCAUCAACACUCCAUAUAUGGAGAAAAGUUUACUCACGGUGAUGACCAAGUUCACAAGCAUCCAAAGGAUGUAGAGUUAUUCCCGACCGGAUCAAACUUACCUGAUUGCUCACACGCGUGCGGACCAUGUUUUCCAUGCCAAAGGGUGAUGGUAGGCUUUAAGUGUCGGAUGACCGAGUCAUGUCCAGUCAUUUAUAGAUGUUUUUGUAAAGGUAGAUAUUAUCAUGUCCCAACAAGCUAGCAUAUUCACUCUCUUUGCAUGUGAUGUCGAAUUUGUUGUAUUAUUUAAAAUAUUUCCGCAGUUUCUAAGUCAAACUAUGAAAUGUGUCUGCUUUAACGACACUCUCUUUGUCGUUAAAGCAGUUGAAAAUAUAUAAAAUAUUUAAGUGUGACAUCUAGUUAAAAAGUUUUGGUUCUGCCACUAUUAGUCGUUUUCUCCCGUUAUUUCUUACUUUCUAUAUGGUUUAUAAAUUUAUAGUUAGUUCUACCUUUUAC